UGGCCGUCGGGUCGACUUCCCGCGUGACGACCAGGUAUUCACGCAACGCGAUCGCGUGCAGGUGUUC
rnacentral:sRNA from 1 species